rnacentral:rRNA from 1 species
CCUACGGGUGGCAGCAGUGGGGAAUAUUAGACAAUGGGCGAAAGCCUGAUCCAGCCAUGCCGCGUGUGUGAAGAAGGCCUUCGGGUUGUAAAGCACUUUCAGUGGGGAAGAAAGCCUUGGGGCUAAUACCCUCGAGGAAGGACAUCACCCACAGAAGAAGCACCGGCUAACUCCGUGCCAGCAGCCGCGGUAAUACGGAGGGUGCGAGCGUUAAUCGGAAUUACUGGGCGUAAAGCGCGCGUAGGCGGUCUGAUAAGCCGGUUGUGAAAGCCCCGGGCUCAACCUGGGAACGGCAUCCGGAACUGUCAGGCUAGAGUGCAGGAGAGGAAGGUAGAAUUCCCGGUGUAGCGGUGAAAUGCGUAGAGAUCGGGAGGAAUACCAGUGGCGAAGGCGGCCUUCUGGACUGACACCGACGCUGAGGUGCGAAAGCGUGGGUAGCAAACAGGAUUAGAUACCCUAGUAGUC